rnacentral:tRNA from 1 species
GGGCUGGUAGUUCAGCUGGUAUGAAUGCCGCCUUGGCAUGGCGGAGGUCGGGGGUUCAAAUCCCCCCCAGUCCA